GACGAACGCUGGCGGCGUGCUUAACACAUGCAAGUCGAACGGAAAGGCCCUGCUUUUGUGGGGUGCUCGAGUGGCGAACGGGUGAGUAACACGUGAGUAACCUGCCCUUGACUUUGGGAUAACUUCAGGAAGCUGGGGCUAAUACCGGAUAGGAGCUCCUGCUGCAUGGUGGGGGUUGGAAAGUUUCGGCGGUUGGGGAUGGACUCGCGGCUUAUCAGCUUGUUGGUGGGGUAGUGGCUUACCAAGGCUUUGACGGGUAGCCGGCCUGAGAGGGUUACCGGCCACAUUGGGACUGAGAUACGGCCCAGACUCCUACGGGAGGCAGCAGUGGGGAAUAUUGCACAAUGGGCGGAAGCCUGAUGCAGCAACGCCGCGUGCGGGAUGACGGCCUUCGGGUUGUAAACCGCUUUCGCCUGUGACGAAGCGUGAGUGACGGUAAUGGGUAAAGAAGCACCGGCUAACUACGUG
rnacentral:rRNA from 1 species